UGCACCUGGUGGCGAGUGGCGAACGGGUGAGUAAUACAUCGGAACGUACCUUAUCGUGGGGGAUAACGCAGCGAAAGCUGUGCUAAUACCGCAUACGCCCUGAGGGGGAAAGCGGGGGAUCGAAAGACCUCGCGCGAUUAGAGCGGCCGAUGCCUGAUUAGCUUGUUGGUGGGGUAAAAGCCCACCAAGGCGACGAUCAGUAGCUGGUCUGAGAGGACGAUCAGCCACACUGGGACUGAGACACGGCCCAGACUCCUACGGGAGGCAGCAGUGGGGAAUUUUGGACAAUGGGGGAAACCCUGAUCCAGCAAUGCCGCGUGAGUGAAGAAGGCCUUUGGGUUGUAAAGCUCUUUUGUCAGGGAAGAAACACCGGCUCUAACACAGUCCGGGAAUGACGGUACCUGAAGAAUAAGCACCGGCUAACUACGUGCCAGCAGCCGCGGUAAUACGUAGGGUGCGAGCGUUAAUCGGAAUUACUGGGCGUAAAGCGUGCGCAGGCGGUUAUACAAGACAGGCGUGAAAUCCCCGGGCUUAACCUGGGAAUGGCGCCUGUGACUGUAUAGCUAGAGUGUGUCAGAGGGGGGUAGAAUUCCACGUGUAGCAGUGAAAUGCGUAGAUAUGUGGAGGAAUACCAAUGGCGAAGGCAGCCCCCUGGGAUAACACUGACGCUCAUGCACGAAAGCGUGGGGAGCAAACAGGA
rnacentral:rRNA from 1 species